AUACGUAGGGGGCGAGCGUUGUCCGGAAUGAUUGGGCGUAAAGGGCGCGUAGGCGGCCUGUUAAGUCUGGAGUGAAAGUCCUGUUUUCAAGAUGGGAAUUGCUUUGGAUACUGAUGGGCUUGAGUGCAGGAGAGGUUAUCGGAAUUCCCGGUGUAGCGGUGAAAUGCGUAGAGAUCGGGAGGAACACCAGUGGCGAAGGCGGGUAACUGGACUGCAACUGACGCUGAGGCGCGAAAGUGUGGGGAGCAAACAGGAUUAGAUACCCUGGUAGUCCACACUGUAAACGAUGAAUGCUAGGUGUAAGAGGUAUCGACCCCUUUUGUGCCGGAGUUAACACAAUAAGCAUUCCGCCUGGGGA
rnacentral:rRNA from 1 species